UAACAGCUCAAAUUUGAAAUCUGGCUCCUUCGGAGUCCGAGUUGUAAUUUGUAGAAGAUGCUUUGGGUUGCAGGUUUGGUCUAAGUUCCUUGGAACAGGGCGUCAUAGAGGGUGAGAAUCCCGUAUGCGGCCGUGACCUGUGCCCGUGUAAAGCUCUUUCGACGAGUCGAGUUGUUUGGGAAUGCAGCUCAAAAUGGGUGGUAAAUUUCAUCUAAAGAAAAGCACUUUGGAAAGAGAGUUAAACAGUACGUGAAAUUGUUGAAAGGGAAGCGCUUGCAACCAGACUUGGGCGUCGUGGAUCAUCCGAGGUUCUCCUCGGUGCACUCGACGACGCGCAGGCCAGCAUCGGUUCGGAUGGCUGGAAAAAGGUCCUAGAAAUGUAGCUCCUCGCGGGGAGUGUUAUAGUCUAGGGCGCAAUGCAGCCCAACUGGACCGAGGACCGCGCUUCGGCUAGGAUGCUGGCGUAAUGGUUGUAAGCGACCCGUCUUGAAACACGGACCAAGGAGUCUAACAUCUAUGCGAGUGUUUGGGCGUUAAACCCAUACGCGGAAUGAAAGUGAACGUAGGUGAGAACCCGUAUGGGGGCAUCAUCGACCGAUCCUGAAUCUU
rnacentral:rRNA from 2 species